rnacentral:lncRNA from 1 species
GACUGUUGGAUGCUCUAGUUGUAACUGUAGCUACCAAACUCCCUGAAAGGGGGUUUGCCACACAUGCACGCAAAUGGGUUCCUCUGUUGCACCGAAAAACGGACUGAUAUUACUUCUAUAAUUGAAUGAGCAUCGAAAUGUGUUAGAAAAAAAAGAUGGGCAAUUACUAAAUAUCAUAGAGUUACCGUAAAGUAAAUUGAAUCAAAUUGGCAGCGUGAUGAUGGAUUGAGGCGUUGUGGUCUGGAUGGAAGCUUCAUCACCAGCAAUCAGCUGUAGUUUGAUGUGCCACUCUUUAAAGAAGAAAUAACCAAACAUCUUCCAUUUGUCUGUGUGCACUAGUAGAAACUGUCUGUCACUGAUCUAAACAUUUUCCAUUAUUAACAG